AGGGUGACCAACCAGCCUGGUUUGCCUGGGACUGAAGGGUUUUAGGGUUUCAGGACAUUCAGUACUCAUA
rnacentral:miRNA from 1 species